AUUAAACACAAGAGUUUGAUCCUGGCUCAGGACGAACGCUGGCGGCGCGCCUAACACAUGCAAGUCGAACGGGGUAUAUAGUUAAGUAAUUGAUUGUAUACCUAGUGGCGGACGGGUGAGUAACGCGUGAGCAACCUGCCUCUAACAGGGGGAUAACGUACCGAAAGGCACACUAAUACCGCAUAAAAUGUAGUUGCGCAUGUAACUAAAUAGAAAGGGAUUACCGGUUAGAGAUGGGCUCGCGUCCGAUUAGAUAGUUGGUAGGGUAAUAGCCUACCAAGUCAACGAUCGGUAGCCGACCUGAGAGGGUGAUCGGCCACAUUGGAACUGAGAACGGUCCAAACUCCUACGGGAGGCAGCAGUGGGGAAUCUUGGGCAAUGGGGGGAACCCUGACCCAGCGACGCCGCGUGAGGGAAGAAGGUUUUCGGAUUGUAAACCUCUGUUCUUGGUGAAGAGUAUAAGACGGUAGCCAAGGAGGAAGCCCCGGCUAACUACGUGCCAGCAGCCGCGGUAAUACGUAGGGGGCGAGCGUUGUCCGGAAUGAUUGGGCGUAAAG
rnacentral:rRNA from 1 species